rnacentral:lncRNA from 1 species
UACAGGUAUUAAUAUGACACAACAUCCCACGUGUGAAAGUGGUUCUAAAACGGUGCCUGCUACUGUUGUUGCCGAUAACACAACACAGUCAAAUGCGCGGUCCGAGGCAAAUGACGUCAUUGAUCACCUUCUGUAGAAAACACCAACGGUUCUACCUCACCCGCAUCCACUUAGGCGUUCACGAGGCAGUCAGGGCACACUUCGGUUCAAUCACUGCCAGUAACCAUCCACUGAGUAGGCAGCCAAGAUGAGAUGCACGAAAAGGCAAACAACUAUACAGCUACGUCUCAUUUGUCGUCAAAGGCACUACAAUAGCCCGCUUAGGUGGCCAUAAUCUUUGCGUGGGGAAGCGCCGUCCAUUACGAAGAAAAACGACCUGAUAUAUCUACUACCCACUGUUGCGGAGGAAAGAUCUCCUAUGUAGAUCAAAUGCCUUGCAAACUGGGUCGAUCGCCUGUUUUUCUUUUCUAUUUCCCCUGCCUUUAUCGGUUACUUAGCCAUAGAAACGCGAGAUGCGUGAGUAUUUUUGUUGCAGUCCCUUCGUGUCGAUAUACGUGAUCUUUUGCUACUACGCGGUCUUGGUAUCUCUACCGACUCGCAGCACUGACAGUGCCCCAUGCCCGCUGCACCCAACAUGUGUACUCUUACCUUCAAUAAAAUUUUCAACUAGCCAUGUCUAGGGAUAAAAUC